rnacentral:rRNA from 1 species
AACACAUGCAAGUCGAACGGCAGCGUGCCUUCGGGUGACGGCGAGUGGCGGACGGGUGAGUAAUGCGUAAGGAUCUGCCUGAAAGACCAGGACAACCCCAGGAAACUAGGGCUAAUACUGGAUGUGCACUAAGGUGUAAAGUUUGGGACUAUUUAUAGCCAGACACUUUCAGAUGAACUUGCGUUAGAUUAGCUAGUUGGUAGGGUAAUGGCCUACCAAGGCAACGAUCUAUAGCUGUUCUGAGAGGAAGACCAGCCACACUGGGACUGAGACACGGCCCAGACUCCUACGGGAGGCAGCAGUGGGGAAUAUUGGACAAUGAGGGAAACCUUGAUCCAGCAAUACCGCGUGUGUGAAGAAGGCCUUAGGGUCGUAAAGCACUUUUAUUAAGGGAAGAAGACAAUAUUGUUAAUAGCAACAUUGUUUGACAUUACCUAAAGAAAAAGCACCGGCUAACUCUGUGCCAGCAGCCGCGGUAAUACAGAGGGUGCAAGCGUUAAUCGGAAUUACUGGGCGUAAAGAGUACGUAGGUGGUGAUGUAAGUUAGAUGUGAAAGGCUUGGGCUCAACCUAAGAAUUGCAUCUAAAACUGCAACACUAGAGUUUUAUAGAGGUAAGUGGAAUUUCCGGUGUAGCGGUGAAAUGCGUAGAUAUCGGAAGGAACAUCAGUGGCGAAGGCGGCUUACUGGGUAAUAACUGACACUGAGGUACGAAAGCGUGGGUAGCAAACAGGAUUAGAUACCCUGGUAGUCCACGCCGUAAACGAUGAGAACUAGCUGUUAGAAUGUUAAUUUUAGUAGCGCAGCUAACGCAAUAAGUUCUCCGCCUGGGGAGUACGGCCGCAAGGCUAAAACUCAAAGGAAUUGACGGGGGCCC